UGGUUUGCAAACCACAAUUUAUGUCAAUGCACCAACGUCAAAAACGUACAAAUCCGCUUUGCGUUAUGUUUGAAUUUUGAACAGGUUGAUAUCUUUAUUAUUUAUAUCUUUGUAAUUACUUUCCCGAGGACGUGAAUUUGAUGACCAGAUACUUAUAUAAUAGCUGCUAACUGAAACCUAUAAAUAUGUUCAAUACUUGGUAUAUGUUGACUCAAACAGGGUAUACGUAUCAAAACCUGCAAAAAGUGUCAUUUCUUAGAACUUCAAGGCAUUUUCUUUCAUAGAGUGGGUCUGUGCUCCAUUCUUUUCUCAUAGUCUAAAUAAAGUCGAAUUGAAAACAAACAGAUUUCAAUCAACAAAAACGUGGAGAGAUGACCCACUAUACAUUAAAGAUAUCAUUUUGUAUCCCAACAAUUGAACGUUUUGAAAAAAUAAUACAAGUCCGUAAAUUCGUGGCCAAAGUCACACAUAGUAUUUAAACAGCCUACUUUCUUGUGUCUGAAAUGCCUCAGUGUUUAGAGCACCUGUCAUAAACAACCCUUACAUAUCCAGGGUGUUUAUGUUAUGGAUUCGAUACCACCAAAAUUUAAUGCAAUAUUUUUUUCAUAUCAUUUGUUUAAUAUAUUUAAAACUGAAUAUAGUUAGAAAUUGCGCUUUUGCAAACUUGUAUUAUAAUAUUAUUGAAUGGAUUUAACUGGGAAAAAAUAAAUUCAAACUUUGUUUUUCACGACUGAAUCGAAUACCAUUGGGCAUUUGCGCCAUCUUAUCCCCCUGUCUUCUUUGGUGGUUUCACAAUUGUUCUAUUGAAACCAUUUGUAAGGUUUUGUCGACGAGAUUUUCCAUUUAUUUUAAACUUAGAAAAUGAUUUUUUUCCUUUCUAGUUGUUAUGGUAAUAUACAUCACAGGGCAUCACUAUAGACAUAAACCAUUAAGAGGACUGGAUGGCUGUGGCCAUUUAAAGACUUCAUUAAUCUCCUUAUAAGAAGAGCUUUGCAUAAUGAUCUAAGAAAUUAUUUAAAUUUGAAAUCUAAAAUAUUAUGAAUAUUCUUUCGUAAAUAAUAUCAUAUGGCCUCUGAGCCCAAAAUUGGAAAUAAACUAUUAUUAUUAUAUCAUUAUAUGGCCAAGAUAAUGGUGUCUAAAGGUUCGAAGUAAAUCUGACCGGGAAUUUGUUGAUCAUCCAGCCUCCUUAAUUUAUCAGACCGGUAUCUACAAGACUUGACUAAAAACAGUUUUCAGAAUUACAUAUGUAUUAUAUAUGACCAGAUUUAUUAGAUUGCUUACAUAUUAUAAUUCGUUAGGUCCAUGAUAAGCAUUGAGCCUGAUUUAUACAUGAAACUGUUUGUUUUUACAUGUCAUUUCAACGUUAUAAUAAAUCCCUGUGGAAGCACUGGAGAGAUUGGUAUCUUGUUUUUAUUCCAUGUUGUGUUGUUAAUAGUGCUUUCAUGGAUGUAAAGGCAUUGAUAAAUAUAAGAAAAUCCAAUUCAUUUGUAGAUUUCUUUUACAUUAUCAACCUAAUUGUAUGAAUAAAGACUGAAACUAUU
rnacentral:sRNA from 1 species